ACCCACAUUAUUUAUGUUUUUUUAUGGCUUAUUAACUACAAAAAAUAUAUAAAAUCAACUUAAAAAUUAAGUUUUAGCUUAUAAGAAGAAGCGUAAGCAUAAGAAAGAAAAUGGUUUGCUUGUUUCAUCUAAUUAAAGCAUUUUGUUGUAUCUCUCAUCAUUAUUUUGGUGGGGGUGUUUGAGAGCCGCCCAAUGAUACGAAAGGGAUCCAAAAAUUAACGACGCGUGGGAAAAAAAUUGUCAAUAAAUGUAGAAGUCGGGUUUGCCAUUAUACAGUAAUACUACUAUAUAUAUAAUAGCUUAACAUCCGUGCUUU
rnacentral:lncRNA from 1 species